UGGGGAAUUUUGGACAAUGGGCGCAAGCCUGAUCCAGCCAUGCCGCGUGCAGGAUGAAGGCCUUCGGGUUGUAAACUGCUUUUGUACGGAACGAAAAGACUCUGGUUAAUACCUGGGGUCCAUGACGGUACCGUAAGAAUAAGCACCGGCUAACUACGUGCCAGCAGCCGCGGUAAUACGUAGGGUGCAAGCGUUAAUCGGAAUUACUGGGCGUAAAGCGUGCGCAGGCGGUUAUGCAAGACAGAUGUGAAAUCCCCGGGCUCAACCUGGGAACUGCAUUUGUGACUGCAUAGCUGGAGUGCGGCAGAGGGGGAUGGAAGUCCGCGUGUAGCAGUGAAAUUCGUAGAUAUCGGGAGGAACACCAGUGGCGAAGGCGGCGAUCUGGGUCGAUACUGACGCUGAGGUGCGAAAGCGUGGGGAGCAAACA
rnacentral:rRNA from 1 species